CUACGGGGCGCUCCAGUGGGGAAUAUUGCACAAUGGGCGCAAGCCUGAUGCAGCCAUGCCGCGUGUAUGAAGAAGGCCUUCGGGUUGUAAAGUACUUUCAGCGGGGAGGAAGGGAGUAAAGUUAAUACCUUUGCUCAUUGACGUUACCCGCAGAAGAAGCACCGGCUAACUCGGUGCCAGCAGCCGCGGUAAUACGGAGGGUGCAAGCGUUAAUCGGCAUUACUGGGCGUAAAGCGCACGCAGGCGGUUUGUUAAGUCAGAUGUGAAAUCCCCGGGCUCAACCUGGGAACUGCAUCUGAUACUGGCAAGCUUGAGUCUCGUAGAGGGGGGUAGAAUUCCAGGUGUAGCGGUGAAAUGCGUAGAGAUCUGGAGGAAUACCGGUGGCGAAGGCGGCCCCCUGGACGAAGACUGACGCUCAGGUGCGAAAGCGUGGGGAGCAAACAGGAUUAGAUACCCCAGUAGUC
rnacentral:rRNA from 1 species